CAGUAGCCGCGGUAAUACAGAGGGUGCGAGCGUUAAUCGGAUUUACUGGGCGUAAAGCGUGCGUAGGCGGCUAAUUGAGUCGGAUGUGAAAUCCCCGAGCUUAACUUGGGAAUUGCAUUCGAUACUGGUUAGCUAGAGUGUGGGAGAGGAUGGUAGAAUUCCAGGUGUAGCGGUGAAAUGCGUAGAGAUCUGGAGGAAUACCGAUGGCGAAGGCAGCCAUCUGGCCUAAUACUGACGCUGAGGUACGAAAGCAUGGGGAGCAAACAGGAUUAGAUACCCGAGUAGUCCCUGUCUCUUAUAA
rnacentral:rRNA from 1 species